AUGUAGUUUCAGUCGACUUAUGGACAUCCUAAAACCACAGUGUUUCCGAUUCUUUUCUGUUCAGCAUCAAAACUUGAGGAUGUUUCGUCGGACUUCCUGGAUCCUAAAGAGACGCUACCCUCCUCGAGCAUCGCAAGAUGGAAAGCCAGUCGAAUUAGAACCAGAGAACUUUGUAUAUGAUGUUGUUGAAUGCACCCACGAUAAAAAGAGACCUGACAUUGAGGCUAUUUUCGUCCAGGAUAUCCCAGGCUUUGCUUACAGGGGUGAAAUGCGAUUUGUAGAUCGAGAGAAGUUCAGAAGAGAACUCGUUCCUCAAAAGUUGGCAGUUUAUUCGUCGCAAUUUAAUCAGAAUUGGUACAAAGUUGCGGAUAAUUACAGAAAUGGAGUCUUUCUAAGAGAUGGAGCUACGAGUUCAGUUUUAGACAUAAUGAGUUUUCUCAAAGACUUGACUUUAGAUUUGCAGGUUGAAGUUUCGCCGACAACCGAAGAAAAAGUUCUGGUCAAUUCACAAUUCAUAUCAUUAAUGCUGAAACUGAAACAUAAUUUGGUUGUUAAUUCACAUGCUGUCAAGAUCAAGAACGAAUUGGGUGGAUUUUCAGAGCCCGGAAUUUAUGAAGUUGAUAUUGUUCUCAAUGAAACGCAUGUUUUACCACUUAGAGUGAAGUUGGCAAAUAAAGAAUCAAAGUGA